rnacentral:rRNA from 1 species
CGAGGGGCAGCAUUUCAGUUUGCUUGCAAACUGGAGAUGGCGACCGGCGCACGGGUGAGUAACACGUAUCCAACCUGCCGAUAACUCGGGGAUAGCCUUUCGAAAGAAAGAUUAAUACCCGAUGGUAUAAUCAGACCGCAUGGUCUUGUUAUUAAAGAAUUUCGGUUAUCGAUGGGGAUGCGUUCCAUUAGGCAGUUGGUGAGGUAACGGCUCACCAAACCUUCGAUGGAUAGGGGUUCUGAGAGGAAGGUCCCCCACAUUGGAACUGAGACACGGUCCAAACUCCUACGGGAGGCAGCAGUGAGGAAUAUUGGUCAAUGGGCGCAGGCCUGAACCAGCCAAGUAGCGUGAAGGAUGACUGCCCUAUGGGUUGUAAACUUCUUUUAUAUAAGAAUAAAGUGCAGUAUGUAUACUGUUUUGUAUGUAUUAUAUGAAUAAGGAUCGGCUAACUCCGUGCCAGCAGCCGCGGUAAUACGGAGGAUCCGAGCGUUAUCCGGAUUUAUUGGGUUUAAAGGGAGCGUAGGUGGACUGGUAAGUCAGUUGUGAAAGUUUGCGGCUCAACCGUAAAAUUGCAGUUGAUACUGUCAGUCUUGAGUACAGUAGAGGUGGGCGGAAUUCGUGGUGUAGCGGUGAAAUGCUUAGAUAUCACGAAGAACUCCGAUU